rnacentral:rRNA from 1 species
UACGUAGGGGGCUAGCGUUGUCCGGGUUUAUUGGGCGUAAAGAGCGUGUAGGCGGCCUGGUAGGUCUGCUGUGAAAACUCGAGGCUCAACCUCGAGAUGUCGGCGGAAACCAUCUGGCUAGAGUCCGGAAGAGGAGAGUGGAAUUCCUGGUGUAGCGGUGAAAUGCGCAGAUAUCAGGAAGAACACCUAUGGCGAAGGCAGCUCUCUGGGACGGUACUGACGCUGAGACGCGAAAGCGUGGGGAGCGAACAGG